ACGAAGGGGGCUAGCGUUGUUCGGAAUUACUGGGCGUAAAGCGUGCGUAGGCGGUCUAACAAGUCAGGGGUGAAAGCCCAGAGCUCAACUCUGGAACUGCAUUUGAAACUGUUAGGCUUGAGUGGGGGAGAGGUGAGUGGAAUUCCCAGUGUAGAGGUGAAAUUCGUAGAUAUUAGGAAGAACACCGGUGGCGAAGGCGGCUCGCUGGCCCGUUUCUGACGCUGAGGCGCGAUAGCGUGGGGAGCAAACAG
rnacentral:rRNA from 1 species